UGGGGAAUAUUGCACAAUGGGGGAAACCCUGAUGCAGCGACGCCGCGUGAGCGAGGAAGUAUUUCGGUAUGUAAAGCUCUGUCAGCAGGGAAGAAGAAUGACGGUACCUGAAGAAGAAGCACCGGCUAAAUACGUGCC
rnacentral:rRNA from 1 species